ACGGGUGAGUAAUGCAUCGGGACCUACCCAGACGUGGGGGAUAACGUAGGGAAACUUACGCUAAUACCGCAUACGUCCUACGGGAGAAAGCAGGGGACCUUCGGGCCUUGCGCGGUUGGACGGACCGAUGUGCGAUUAGCUAGUUGGUAGGGUAAUGGCCUACCAAGGCGACGAUCGCUAGCUGGUCUGAGAGGAUGAUCAGCCACACUGGGACUGAGACACGGCCCAGACUCCUACGGGAGGCAGCAGUGGGGAAUAUUGGACAAUGGGCGCAAGCCUGAUCCAGCAAUGCCGCGUGUGUGAAGAAGGCCCUCGGGUUGUAAAGCACUUUUAUCAGGAACGAAAUACCACGGGUUAAUACCCUAUGGGGCUGACGGUACCUGAGGAAUAAGCACCGGCUAACUUCGUGCCAGCAGCCGCGGUAAUACGAAGGGUGCAAGCGUUAAUCGGAAUUACUGGGCGUAAAGGGUGCGUAGGCGGUUGUUUAAGUCUGUCGUGAAAUCCCCGGGCUCAACCUGGGAAUGGCGAUGGAUACUGGACAGCUAGAGUGUGUCAGAGGAUGGUGGAAUUCCCGGUGU
rnacentral:rRNA from 4 species